GUUUUGUUGUAGUCUCUGUUAUUGGUAAUGGUGAGAGGUUAGCAUGUUUUGUUGUAGACUCUGUUAUUGGUAAUGGUGAGAGGUUAGCAUGUUUUGUUGUAUCCUCUGUUAUUGGUAAUGGUGAGAGGUUAGCAUGUUUUGUUGUAGCCUCUGUUAUUGGUAAUGGUGAGAGGUUACCAUGUUUUGUUGUAGCCUCUGUUAUUGGUAAUGGUGAGAGGUUAGCAUGUUUUGUUGUAGCCUCUGUUAUUGGUAAUGGUGAGAGGUUGGUAUGUUUUGUUGUAGCCUCUGUUAUUGGUAAUGGUGAGAGGUUGGUAUGUUUUGUUGUAUCCUCUGUUAUUGGUAAUGGUGAGAGGUUAGCAUGUUUUGUUGUAUCCUCUGUUAUUGGUAAUGGUGAGAGGUUGGUAUGUUUUGUUGUAUCCUCUGUUAUUGGUAAUGGUGAGAGGUUAGCAUGUUUUGUUGUAUCCUCUGUUAUUGGUAAUGGUGAGAGGUUGGUAUGUUUUGUUGUAUCCUCUGUUAUUGGUAAUGGUGAGAGGUUAGUAUGUUUUGUUGUAGUCUCUGUUAUUGGUAAUGGUGAGAGGUUAGCAUGUUUUGUUGAAGCCUCUGUUAUUGGUAAUGGUGAGAGGUUAGCAUGUUUUGUUGUUGUAGCCUCUGUAACUUUCUCACUCAUUAUUAUUCAUGAUUCUUUCAUGAUUUUUCUUAAUCAUGGCAUCAUCAGGAUUAAUUUAUUAUUGUUUAGAAACAUGUUAUCUACUCUCUUAGACAGAAAAGUACUCCACUCAUCAUCCACCAUUUUAUUAUUGGGCAAAACACAACCAAAACAAACUGCAAAUGCAACCAACGAGUUUAAGACAAAAAACUAAAUGUUUUACUAUUUUAAUACACUAUGAGUGAAUUGUUCAGAAUACUUAAGACUUCUUCAAAUGGGGAGACUGGAAACAUAAAUUGUUUUCAUUUUUAAUAGUGAAACACAUAUGUCUUAAAAUACCCUCAAAUUAAAGGUGACAUUAUAAACUGUCACCUCAUAUGAAACAUUUGACCUCAAAUCCAAAAUGUUGGAGAAUAGAGACACAUUUAAAUGUUAGCUUCACUGUCAAAAUAGAUAUGGUGUGGAU
ensembl:lncRNA